rnacentral:rRNA from 1 species
UACGGGGGGGGCAAGCGUUGUUCGGAAUUACUGGGCGUAAAGGGCGCGUAGGCGGCCUUCUAAGUCGAACGUGAAAUCCCCGGGCUCAACCCGGGAACUGCGUCCGAUACUGGAAGGCUUGAAUCCGGGAGAGGGAUGCGGAAUUCCAGGUGUAGCGGUGAAAUGCGUAGAUAUCUGGAGGAACACCGGUGGCGAAGGCGGCAUCCUGGACCAACACUGACGCUGAGUGAGCGAAAGCCAGGGGAGCAAACGGG